AAAAUUUCACAUUCCUUGAAAUUUUUAGCCAAAACCUUUUCAAAUUGCUUAAGAUAUAGCUCAAGACACAACCACUAAUAAAUCAGAUAACUUACUACCCUUAGAUUGCAUGUUUUGACUUCAAAAUCUAAUUACUCCUUUACUUCAACUUGAAAUCUAGCAAGCAGUAUAUAAAAAGUGUAGCCACAAAAGUGCUCUUUCUAGUCGCAAUCACCGAUCCUCAAUUGCCUUUUGUACGCAUGUAUUAUGUCAAAAAUAGUGACGGUAGCUCCCAAAUCUACACCUUAACUUUGAGCGCCUAUAUCUCCUUCAUAUAAACUUCAAAUCAUACAAAACUUACACCAAAACCAUAGCCAAAAACCUAAACUUGUUGUUCCUAGUCUUCAAA
rnacentral:lncRNA from 1 species